GAUUAUGGCUCAGAACGAACGCUGGCGGCAGGCCUAACACAUGCAAGUCGAGCGCGCCCUUCGGGGUGAGCGGCGGACGGGUUAGUAACGCGUGGGAACGUACCCUUUGGUAGGGAAUAGCCACUGGAAACGGUGAGUAAUACCCUAUGAGCCCUUCGGGGGAAAGAUUUAUCGCCAAAGGAUCGGCCCGCGUUAGAUUAGGUAGCUGGUGGGGUAAUGGCCUACCAAGCCUACGAUCUAUAGCUGGUUUUAGAGGAUGAUCAGCAACACUGGGACUGAGACACGGCCCAGACUCCUACGGGAGGCAGCAGUGGGAAUCUUGGACAAUGGGGGCAACCCUGAUCCCAGCCAUGCCGCGUGAGUGAAGAAGGCCUUAGGGUCGUAAAGCUCUUUCGCCUGUGAAGAUAAUGACGGUAGCAGGUAAAGAAACCCCGGCUAACUCCGUGCCAGCAGCUGC
rnacentral:rRNA from 1 species